AUGGCCUCUCAGGGCUGGCCCCUCGUCCACAUUAGCAGUACCUUUUCAUUUCCCUCAACCGUGGGCAGAUCUACCCGACCCUCAGCUUCCUCCUCCACCGCACGAGCAGCCUUUCCCUCCCUGAGCCACUUACUUCACCCACCCAUAUCUGCACUUGCAGUUCCCACGGCGCACAGCCGCAAGCCACUCCAAAGGUUUCAUUGCCGAGUUGGGGGUGGCGUGUGCAAGGAUGGACUGACUCCCAUAGCGCUGGACGAAGCUUCAGGGGUGGCCGCAGCCAUCCUCCACGUCCCACCUCUCUUAUUUCACCUUCCCUGUCCCUACCGAGCUCCUAGAGGCAGGAUGAGCACUGCUGGGUCCCAAACCCUCGCCUCAGGAGCCAGAGCUGCGGGGAGUGAAAAGUCGACUGGCAAAAACACACAGAGAGAAAUGGGCAGAUGCAUAUGGCAAGAGGGGCUGGGGGAAGGGCGAAUGCAAGAACUAAACCUGCAACUUGCACAGCACGGGGUGAGCACCGCGCAGGGAAGGGUCACAAAAGUUUGCAGACUAUUGUAUAGCAGCCGGCUGAACAGGAGCAAAGAGGGUCGACUGUAUCUCUCCAGGAGGAGGUCUCUCCCAGGGUCUGCGCAAAAGGGAUCGGGGGGCUUAGAAAGGCAUGGCUUAGAACUGAGCAUUUUACUGGGAGAUCAUCAGUGGGAGCGGUUCAGUGUUCUGAUGUCUGCUCCGAGGAAAGCUUUAGAGAACACAGGAAGAAGGAGUGAAACAGAGGGCAGAUUCCUCCAACAUGGGCACGGAUGCUGUUGCUCUGUUAUGAUGUUCACACAGACACAGAGAAACCAACCGAAGGCUAGUCUCAGUGGCUGAAAGGCAGUAAAAAGGCUCUGGAGUUCUCACUAUUAAAGCCUCCUACCAUAUUUAAGGAUGGCCUUGAUGAUGAAGCAUUAGCAUGCAGGAUGGAUUG
rnacentral:lncRNA from 1 species